AACGAACGCUGGCGGCAUGCCUAACACAUGCAAGUCGAACGAGACCUUCGGGUCUAGUGGCGCACGGGUGCGUAACGCGUGGGAACCUGCCCUUAGGUUCGGAAUAACUCCCCGAAAGGGGUGCUAAUACCGGAUAAUGUCUUCGGACCAAAGAUUUAUCGCCUUUGGAUGGGCCCGCGUUGGAUUAGCUAGUUGGUAGGGUAAAAGCCUACCAAGGCGACGAUCCAUAGCUGGUCUGAGAGGAUGAUCAGCCACACUGGGACUGCGACACGGCCCAGACUCCUACGGGAGGCAGCAGUUGGGAAUAUUGGACAAUGGGCGAAAGCCUGAUCCAGCAAUGCCGCGUGAGUGAUGAAGGCCUUAGGGUUGUAAAGCUCUUUUACCCGGGAUGAUAAUGACAGUACCGGGAGAAUAAGCUCCGGCUAACUCCGUG
rnacentral:rRNA from 1 species